UCCAGAGAGUGCCGAGGGAGCGGUUCUGUCACCAGAAGCUUCCGGAUAAACCCCGUGGACUUGGAAUCGCAGUACAAAGAGCUGCUGAACUUGCAGGAGGUGAAGACGAACGUCCUGCAGGUUCACCUGAACGCUGGAGCUGAUCCGGCCGGUGGACGGCGGAGCGUGUAAAGCGCAGAGGGAGUACCAGCUCAUGCGCCUCAUGCUGGACCACACACAGGUGAUGGAGUGACGCUUUUUUCACCUUCAACUGUAAAACCGUCUACACAUCACUGUGCAUGGACACUUUCUUUAUAUUUUUCUACAUCUCAACAUAAAGCUUCAGGCACCUGCUGUGAACAGCGAGCUCUCUGACACUCAGGUAUUUAAAUAAAAAGCCUUAAAGUGUGUGAAGACCUCAGCAGAAACCUGCUGGCGUUUCUCACUGUGUGUGUGUGUGUGUGUGUGUGUGUGUGUGUG